AACGGCCGUACCGUGCUGAAUAUACCGGUUCUCGUUAGAUCACCGAAGUUAAGCAUCAUUGGGCGCGGUCAGUACUUGGGUGGGUGACCACCUGGGAACACCGCGUGCCGUU
rnacentral:rRNA from 1 species